rnacentral:rRNA from 1 species
UACGGGGGGGGCAAGCGUUGUUCGGAAUUACUGGGCGUAAAGGGCUCGUAGGUGGCCAACUAAGUCAGACGUGAAAUCCCUCGGCUUAACCGGGGAACUGCGUCUGAUACUGGAUGGCUAGAGAUUGGGAGAGGGAUGCGGAAUUCCAGGUGUAGCGGUGAAAUGCGUAGAUAUCUGGAGGAACACCGGUGGCGAAGGCGACAUCCUGGACCGGUAUUGACGCUGAGGCGCGAAAGCGUGGGGAGCAAACAGG